rnacentral:rRNA from 1 species
AGAGUUUGAUCCUGGCUCAGGAUGAACGCUAGCGACAGGCUUAACACAUGCAAGUCGAGGGGCAGCACAGGUAGCAAUACCGGGUGGCGACCGGCGCACGGGUGAGUAACGCGUAUGCAACUUGCCUAUCAGAGGGGGAUAACCCGGCGAAAGUCGGACUAAUACCGCAUGAAGCAGGGGCCCCGCAUGGGGAUAUUUGCUAAAGAUUCAUCGCUGAUAGAUAGGCAUGCGUUCCAUUAGGCAGUUGGCGGGGUAACGGCCCACCAAACCGACGAUGGAUAGGGGUUCUGAGAGGAAGGUCCCCCACAUUGGUACUGAGACACGGACCAAACUCCUACGGGAGGCAGCAGUGAGGAAUAUUGGUCAAUGGGCGUAAGCCUGAACCAGCCAAGUCGCGUGAGGGAUGAAGGUUCUAUGGAUCGUAAACCUCUUUUAUAAGGGAAUAAAGUGCGGGACGUGUCCCGUUUUGUAUGUACCUUAUGAAUAAGGAUCGGCUAACUCCGUGCCAGCAGCCGCGGUAAUACGGAGGAUCCGAGCGUUAUCCGGAUUUAUUGGGUUUAAAGGGUGCGUAGGCGGCCUUUUAAGUCAGCGGUGAAAGUCUGUGGCUCAACCAUAGAAUUGCCGUUGAAACUGGGGGGCUUGAGUAUGUUUGAGGCAGGCGGAAUGCGUGGUGUAGCGGUGAAAUGCUUAGAUAUCACGCAGAACCCCGAUUGCGAAGGCAGCCUGCCAAGCCAUGACUGACGCUGAUGCACGAAAGCGUGGGGAUCAAACAGGAUUAGAUACCCUGGUAGUCCACGCAGUAAACGAUGAUCACUAGCUGUUUGCGAUACAGUGUAAGCGGCACAGCGAAAGCGUUAAGUGAUCCACCUGGGGAGUACGCCGGCAACGGUGAAACUCAAAGGAAUUGACGGGGGCCCGCACAAGCGGAGGAACAUGUGGUUUAAUUCGAUGAUACGCGAGGAACCUUACCCGGGCUUAAAUUGCAGUGGAAUGAUGUGGAAACAUGUCAGUGAGCAAUCACCGCUGUGAAGGUGCUGCAUGGUUGUCGUCAGCUCGUGCCGUGAGGUGUCGGCUUAAGUGCCAUAACGAGCGCAACCCUUGCCACUAGUUACUAACAGGUAAAGCUGAGGACUCUGGUGGGACUGCCAGCGUAAGCUGCGAGGAAGGCGGGGAUGACGUCAAAUCAGCACGGCCCUUACAUCCGGGGCGACACACGUGUUACAAUGGCGUGGACAAAGGGAUGCCACCUGGCGACAGGGAGCGAAUCCCCAAACCACGUCUCAGUUCGGAUCGGAGUCUGCAACCCGACUCCGUGAAGCUGGAUUCGCUAGUAAUCGCGCAUCAGCCAUGGCGCGGUGAAUACGUUCCCGGGCCUUGUACACACCGCCCGUCAAGCCAUGGGAGCCGGGGGUACCUGAAGUACGUAACCGCAAGGAUCGUCCUAGGGUAAAACUGGUGACUGGGGCUAAGUCGUAACAAGGUAGCCGUACCGGAAGGUGCGGCUG